UAGGGAAUCUUCGGCAAUGGGGGGAACCCUGACCGAGCAACGCCGCGUGAGUGAAGAAGGUUUUCGGAUCGUAAAGCUCUGUUGUUAAGGAAGAACGAGUGUGAGAAUGGAAAGUUCAUACUGUGACGGUACUUAACCAGAAAGGGACGGCUAACUACGUGCCAGCAGCCGCGGUAAUACGUAGGUCCCGAGCGUUGUCCGGAUUUAUUGGGCGUAAAGCGAGCGCAGGCGGUUAGAUAAGUCUAAAGUUAAAGGCAGUGGCUCAACCAUUGUAGGCUUUGGAAACUGUUUAACUUGAGUGCAGAAGGGGAGAGUGGAAUUCCAUGUGUAGCGGUGAAAUGCGUAGAUAUAUGGAGGAACACCGGUGGCGAAAGCGGCUCUCUGGUCUGUAACUGACGCUGAGGCUCGAAAGCGUGGGGAGCGAACAGG
rnacentral:rRNA from 1 species